rnacentral:rRNA from 1 species
ACUCCUACGGGAGGCAGCAGUAAGGAAUAUUGCGCAAUGGGCGAAAGUCUGACGCAGCGACGCCGCGUGGGGGAUGAAGGUCUUCGGAUUGUAAACCCCUUUCGGGAGGGAAGAUGGAGUGGGUAACCACUUGGACGGUACCUCCAGAAGCAGCCACGGCUAACUUCGUGCCAGCAGCCGCGGUAAUACGAAGGUGGCAAGCGUUGUUCGGAUUCACUGGGCGUACAGGGAGCGUAGGCGGUUGGGUAAGCCCUCCGUGAAAUCUCCGGGCCUAACCCGGAAAGUGCAGAGGGGACUGCUCAGCUAGAGGAUGGGAGAGGAGCGCGGAAUUCCCG